rnacentral:rRNA from 1 species
AACGAACGCUGGCGGCAGGCUUAACACAUGCAAGUCGAACGGUUGUAGCAAUACAGCAGUGGCAGACGGGUGAGUAACACGUGGGAACCUUCCUAGGGGUACGGAACAACUCAGGGAAACUUGAGCUAAUACCGUAUACGUCCGUGAGGAGAAAGUUUUAACGCCCCUAGACGGGCCCGCGUAGGAUUAGGUAGUUGGUGAGGUAACGGCUCACCAAGCCUACGAUCCUUAGCUGAUCUGAGAGGAUGAUCAGCCACACUGGGACUGAGACACGGCCCAGGACUCCUACGGGAGGCAGCAGUGGGGAAUCUUGGACAAUGGGCGCAAGCCUGAUCCAGCCAUGCCGCGUGAGUGAAGAAGGCCUUGGUUGUAA